GCGGCCCAGGGUGUGGGAGCCCGACAGGACCACCAUGUCCUCCGCGUUGAGGCCCCUCAUCUCGAACCCUGUGACGAGGCCGGCCGCCGUCAGGUUCGGCCCCGGGAGGGUGAACGCGCCGGCGUCGGUCGAGAGGUUACCGUCGCGGCGGCCGGAGGGGACCUGGUAGAAGGCGUUGCUGCCGGUGAUGUUCACGCUGUCCCGGGCGGCGAAGGCCAGGAUGUCGGCGCAUGACACCGUGCGCGGGCAGCUCUGCUCCAAUGCGGCCCUGGCGGCGUUCACGACCUCGAAGCCACGCAAGCUCGG
rnacentral:lncRNA from 1 species